GCCUUAUCAAGAGUGGUGGAGGAAACAGGUCCUGUGAAGCCCAGCAACCUAGCGUUAGUUAAGGUGCUAAAUCCUGCGGUUAUUUCCGAAAGAUGAGGA
rfam:Ruminococcus sp. CAG:57 genomic scaffold, scf21